CACGCCGUAAACGGUGGGCGCUAGGUGUGGGGAACAUUUCCACGUUCUCCGUGCCGUAGCUAACGCAUUAAGCGCCCCGCCUGGGGAGUACGGCCGCAAGGCUAAAACUCAAAGGAAUUGACGGGGGCCCGCACAAGCGGCGGAGCAUGCGGCUUAAUUCGAUGCAACGCGAAGAACCUUACCUGGGCUUGACAUGGAGACUAAUCCGGCAGAGAUGUCGGGUCCUUCGGGGGUCUCACACAGGUGG
rnacentral:rRNA from 1 species